rnacentral:rRNA from 1 species
UACGUAGGGUGCAAGCGUUGUCCGGAAUUAUUGGGCGUAAAGAGCUCGUAGGCGGUUUGUCGCGUCUGCUGUGAAAAUCCAGGGCUUAACCCUGGACCUGCAGUGGGUACGGGCAGACUAGAGUGCGGUAGGGGAGAUCGGAAUUCCUGGUGUAGCGGUGAAAUGCGCAGAUAUCAGGAGGAACACCGGUGGCGAAGGCGGAUCUCUGGGCCGUAACUGACGCUGGGGAGCGAAAGCAUGGGGAGCGAACGAGG